rnacentral:rRNA from 1 species
GACAGAGGUCCCGAGCGUUAGGCGGAAUCACUGGGCUUAAAGCGUGUGUAGGCGGACUUCUAAGUACCUUGUGAAAUCCCACGGCUUAACCGUGGAACUGCUUGGUAUACUGGUUGUCUUGGGCCAUCUAGGGGCUACUGGAACAAACGGUGGAGCGGUGAAAUGCGUAGAUAUCGGAAGGAACAUCAGUGGCGAAAGCGACUUCCUGGACCAGUACCGACGUUCAGGCACGAAAGCGUGGGGAGCAAACAGG